GUCGUAACAAGGUUUCCGUAGGUGAACCUGCGGAAGGAUCAUUCACACAUAUCCAGAUUCAUCACCUGAACCGCAUAUGUGAGAUCGUGCGUGGGGCUUUGCCGCCUCCCGUAUGUUCUCGGGGGUGGUGGGGUAAGGAGUGUGCAUUGGCCCACGUCCUCUGCUUCCAUCACCAAUGUGCAACCACUGUGAAUCCCGGUGUUUCAAUGUGUUGGCUCACACCAACGCAACUGAUUUCUCUUUACAACUUUCAGCGAUGGAUGUCUCGGCUCGAACAACGAUGAAGGGCGCAGCGAAGUGUGAUAAGCAUUGUGACUUGCAGAAUUCCGUGAACCAACAGGGAUUCGAACGUAUACUGCGCUUUCGGGAUACCCCUGAAAGCAUGCCUGCUUCAGUGUCUACUCUUUUCUCAUGCCGCUGCUUUGCUUCACCAUCUCGUGUGGUGGCUCACGCAUUGCCAGCUGUGCGUCUCUGCGCAUCAGGGGGUGCUUCCGUCUUUGGUGGUGGCUGCAACCCUGAUGUGUGAAGUGCGCGUUGGCUGCCCUGGCCAGCAACUUACUGAACACCUCACGGUGCUUCAUAAGCUGCUGCAGGGAAUGGGCCGACGCAAGUUCGGUUGCUGAGCAUUGCCGAUGCGCAUUGCUCUUCUCACCCAGACAUGAAGUUAGGUCAGCAAACCCGCUGAAUUUAAGCAUAUAAGUAAGCGGUGGAUAAGAAACUAAAUAGGAUUCCCUCAGUAAUGGCGAAUGAACAGGGAUGAGCUCAGCAUCGAAAUUUGGGCUUCUGGCCUUGAAUUGUAAUUUCGAGUGGUUCCACCAACGGAGGCGCAGAUGUAAGCCUCUUGGAAAAGAGCAUCAACGAGGGCGAGAGUCCCGUUCGUCAUUUGCAGUCCUCCGUGUACGGUGUGCCUACUAAGAGUCACGUUCCUCGGGAUUGGAGCGCAAAGCGGGUGGUAAAUUUCAUCCAAAGCUAAAUAUAGGUUCGAGACCGAUAGCAAACAAGUACCAUGAGGGAAAGAUGAAAAGGACUUUGGAAAGAGAGUUAAAAGUGCCUGAAAUUGCUGAAAGGGAAGCGAAUGGAACCAGUGUUUCUAGGUGAGAUUGUUGCGCGCUAAAGUGAUUGUAUGCUGCAUCAGCGCAAGCGUUGCGGUGUGCUCUGAUCUGGAUGUGCGUGGUGCUUCUCACCCUGCGUGUCAACGUCGGUUUGGAGUUGAGGAAAACUCAAGGGACAUGGUAAAUUGCUUGCAAUUGAAGGUGCCUUGCAGAACUCAUCUCUGGACUGAAGCUUGCGUGUCUUGUUGCAUGGUCUACCGGGUGCGUGGUGUCUCUCCAUGCGGUGAGCCACUGCCACCUCAGGCCAUCCCUUGACAUGGAAUGGUGACAAAAUGGUUUCACUCGACCCGUCUUGAAACACGGACCAAGGAGUCUAACAUAUGUGCAAGUCCCCGGGUGUUUAAACCUGCUGGCACAAUGAAAGUGACUGCUGGGAUAUUUGCACCAGCAACCGACUGAUCAAUUGAGAGAGGUUUGAGUAUGAGCACAUCUGUUAGGACCCGAAAGAUGGUGAACUAUGCGUGA
rnacentral:rRNA from 1 species